ACGAACGCUGGCGGCGUGGAUAAGACAUGCAAGUCGAACGGGAGGAUUGCUAGCUUGCUAAUAAUUCUCUAGUGGCGCACGGGUGAGUAACACGUGAGUAACCUGCCUCUUAGUGGGGGAUAGCCCUGGGAAACCGGGAUUAAUACCGCAUACGAUUGAAAGAUCAAAGCAGCAAUGCGCUAGGAGAUGGGCUCGCGGCCUAUUAGUUAGUUGGUGAGGUAACGGCUCACCAAGGCGAUGACGGGUAGCCGGUCUGAGAGGAUGUCCGGCCACACUGGAACUGAGACACGGUCCAGACACCUACGGGUGGCAGCAGUCGAGAAUCAUUCACAAUGGGGGCAACCCUGAUGGUGCGACGCCGCGUGGGGGAAUGAAGGUCUUCGGAUUGUAAACCCCUGUCAUGUGGGAGCAAAUUAAAAAGAUAGUACCACAAGAGGAAGAGACGGCUAACUCUGUGCCAGCAGCCGCGGUAAUACAGAGGUCUCAAGCGUUGUUCGGAAUCACUGGGCGUAAAGCGUGCGUAGGCUGUUUCGUAAGUCGUGUGUGAAAGGCAGGGGCUCAACCCCUGGAUUGCACAUGAUACUGCGAGACUAGAGUAAUGGAGGGGGAACCGGAAUUCUCGGUGUAGCAGUGAAAUGCGUAGAUAUCGAGAGGAACACUCGUGGCGAAGGCGGGUUCCUGGACAUUAACUGACGCUGAGGCACGAAGGCCAGGGGAGCGAAAGGGAUUAGAUACCCCUGUAGUCCUGGCAGUAAACGGUGCACGCUUGGUGUGCGGGGAAUCGACCCCCUGCGUGCCGGAGCUAACGCGUUAAGCGUGCCGCCUGGGGAGUACGGUCGCAAGAUUAAAACUCAAAGAAAUUGACGGGGACCCGCACAAGCGGUGGAGUAUGUGGCUUAAUUCGAUGCAACGCGAAGAACCUUACCUGGGCUUGACAUGUAAUGAACAACAUGUGAAAGCAUGCGACUCUUCGGAGGCGUUACACAGGUGCUGCAUGGCCGUCGUCAGCUCGUGUCGUGAGAUGUUUGGUUAAGUCCAGCAACGAGCGCAACCCCUGUUGCCAGUUACCAGCACGUCAAGGUGGGGACUCUGGCGAGACUGCCCAGAUCAACUGGGAGGAAGGUGGGGACGACGUCAGGUCAGUAUGGCCCUUAUGCCCAGGGCUGCACACGUACUACAAUGCCCAGUACAGAGGGGGCCGAAGCCGCGAGGCGGAGGAAAUCCUGAAAACUGGGCCCAGUUCGGACUGUAGGCUGCAACCCGCCUACACGAAGCCGGAAUCGCUAGUAAUGGCGCAUCAGCUACGGCGCCGUGAAUACGUUCCCGGGUCUUGUACACACCGCCCGUCACAUCAUGGAAGCCGGUCGCACCCGAAGUAUCUGAAGCCAACCGCAAGGAGGCAGGGUCCUAAGGUGAGACUGGUAACUGGGAUG
rnacentral:rRNA from 1 species